GGCGGUCCUGAUCACAGGGAGAAACUCUUGCCAGCUCGUUUGCUUCUGCAGACAAGCACUGUGCUUAAAGAAGUGUAGGUUGUGUGGAUACUGAACACACCAGCGUGGGACGGGGACUAGCCAGUGCACCCACAUCUCCUCUGAACCUCAGUAUGCUUGUAACCAGACAGGACACGACUGAAGAGAACUCAUGAAAUAAAAGAAGUGCUUACAGGAGCAGCAGACUACAGGAAAGCAACAACCACCGAAUUCUGGGAUGGUGGUCUAUCCACUUAAAAUAAUGUAUAUUUGUUUCAGUAUGGCAAAAGAAACAGAUAAUCUCUUGGGCUGAACAUCUUUACCACCAGCGCAUACUCUGCUGUUUCUCCUCACACCCCUCAACACUAUAUGUAACAUAUACUGACUCUUAAUGGAAAUUGUACAUCUACACCUCACCUACGUUGUGCCCAGAAGUCAAAGGAUGUUUUCACGUGGAUGCAAUCAAGCUGGACUUCUGACUCUAACUCUAGCUCAAAUCCAUCUAGAAAUCUUGGGGGACAUAAAGGCUCAGAGCUAUCCAUAAGGUGAAACACUUUAUUAUCUGUCCAAGUAACUUAGUGCAAAGAGCACUGCUUUUCACUGGAUUGGUAGGUAGGUGAUCUAUGGCCCAUUCACACAUUAUGUUUAACACUCAUACGAGUGUACAGUGUACACAGGUACAGUCCUAUACAUAGGUACAGUCAUUCACAUGUUAUGCUGAAUGCAGGUAAAAGUACACUUUCUAUCUGUACCAUAUAUUUUAAGGGAAUGUAUUCAGGUUCACUUUUAAAAUGAACACAGGUACAGUCAUUCACACAAACACGUGAACGAGUGUACAGACAUCUAUACACUUGUACAGCAUAAUGCCCAAAUUGGGCUUUAGAGAGAGGCUAAUCUUUGUUUGUAGUCUUUGUCCUAUAAAGAUAUAGUUAAGGUAUUUGAAGAGCACAAAAGUAAAAUUGAACUCCCACAUAAACUGUGUACAGCUAUUUCAGUAGAUUAAUAGAAUGGCUCACCGUAUCCCACUUUGCAUUCAUCUUUUCCUUCUCAAAUUUUGCAAAUUCUCUUCUGUCAUGAAUGAUCAUAAGUAGUUUCCAAAUUAGCAAUAAAGCAAGACCAAUAAGAACAAUUCCAGCAACCACACCAGCAACGAUGGGAAUGAUGUCAGGACCAGCUGGGCAUUCUAGCAAACAAAAUAGUUGAAGCACAAUUUUAGCAUAACAUACAAUCAACACUGUGAAAACGUGAAAUGAGCUGUGGGCUAUAAAGUAGUACAUUUAGCUGAUAAAAUGUCUGAAUAAUUUGUGCUUAAUUAAGAGUAUAAUUACAGAUAAUUAUCAAAUUAAUGCACUGUGAAUGUAUAAAAUCAAAGUGUUUAAUACCAAUUAAAGAAAAUCAAGAGUG